GGAAUCUUCCACAAUGGACGCAAGUCUGAUGGAGCAACGCCGCGUGAGUGAAGAAGGUUUUCGGAUCGUAAAGCUCUGUUGUUGGUGAAGAAGGAUAGAGGUGGCAACUGGCCUUUAUUUGACGGUAAUCAACCAGAAAGUCACGGCUAACUACGUGCCAG
rnacentral:rRNA from 1 species